CUAACCUAACGUAACGUAACCUGAGCUAAGGUAACCUAACCAUCACUAUUCUACAAGUUUCAUGACAGUAGAGCUAAACACAGAGAUCAUAUUGAAGUUAGUAACGUUACCGUAACGAUUCAUGCUGAGGAAAACCGUUAUUUCGUGAUUUUGGAAUUGUCUGACGUUGAGUAAACCGUAAUAAAAGAAAACACACUCAUAUUUCGAAACCUUGGUUGCUUUAAAGUCGUAGUGACAUUAAGAAAAUAGUGAUUUUUUUCUCCAAUGUUUCGUUACGACAACCUUGCUAACUUCAACGUCGUAAAGAGAGUGCAGGUUUCUUAUGCACCUGUUCUCGUUCGUUUUCUUAUUUUCAUUUCUCACGACUGCGCUGCACCUCGACACGACGAAUGAAGGACGUUAUACGGAUAAUAAUCAGCGUAAACAGUCGCGACAAACACGUAAAUACGUCGAAUGGGUGCUUAACAGUUGCGAGAAAGGCGUUUAGUCAAGACCCGACGUUUAAAAGCAGAGGAAUCGCAGCUUCUUUUUCUCAAUAAUGAUUUUCAUGCAAAACGGCAAACAGAAUUCCUGGUUCCUUUGUCUUAUGGAGUAAAGUGCACUACAGAUCAGUUCCCGAUAUCCUUCGGCAAGUAGUCACUAAAUACUUAGCAACGAUUGUCUAGGAAUGACGGUGAUUGCGCAUAGACGUAAAUCGAGAACUUGACUAGACGAUCCAUGGGAUAAUUGAGAAAACUUUGGGAAGCGCGAAAGAACGAUGAUGUGAGUGAAGUUGGUCGAGUUUUGGUUGAAUCGGUCAACGCGAUGACAAGUGAGGCUCGACUCGCUGCAACGUUCGGACAUGCUUUGCAAUCAAUCGAGCAGCGAGAGUCCUGUACUACUACUUAACACACCGAUCCGAAUGAAGAACAAACAAAUGGGGAUGAAAAAAACGCGGAUUAACUAAAAGGAGCGUGAUUUACGACAGCACAACGAAACCGAUAAAAACUGAGAACUGUAUUAUCGCCUGCCUGCCCGCCUGGCUGUAGCUGGUCCUCCUCCUCAUUCCGGCACUUUGGUCACCAUAUCAUUGAACAACGACGAUCGGUGGGCGCUAAGCGGCUCGGAGGCGAGAGCAACUGAGACUUGUCUACCAACUCCGGACACUGCGCUGGCUCGACUGAAACUGGUUGAGAAACGGGCGCCCGGCGCCCCCACUUCGAGGGGCCCUGAUUCGUCCGUUUCCGUAUCGCUUCGGGCGGCUUCGGCUCGGCCUCGUCUCCCCCACGUGACCCCGCUAACGGCUUCCUCCCCUCCCCGCCAGCGUCGGUCGUUCCAGGGAGCGAAUCGCACGGGCCAGGGACGACGCUCACAGGAAAUAGACAGGCGAGGGCCACUCGAUUCUGGGCGAGUGUUUAGUCGGUAGGAAGGUACAGCCGACAGCCGGGCCGACGUGCACAGUCGAACCCCUUUGGCUGGUCGGAAUUCGAUGAUGGAUAAUCCGGCGGAUUUUACGAGGCGAAGCUUCCGAGCAACUGGCUUUUCGAAAGCCCGUCGAGAUUAAUUUUAUUUGCAAAAGUCCGUGUUGUCCGAAAGAAUUAUCGAACUAACCCUUGUGCCGCACACCAAGGUCAGAAUGAAAUAGGUAAAGGGUAUCCCAUAAUUUUUUCAACUUAUUCGAAUCGAUGUCUACGUUUCUGCGCAAUUACUUUUGGUAUGGGGUAUCCAGCAGAGGUAUUAUACACGGGCGGUGUGCAGCGUAAGGGUUGAUAUUGAAUUCGAACUUUGCUAGUGACGACGAGGGAAAAAGUCACAUCAGCCUACCAUAUCUUUUCACCGAAACAUCCGUAUUAGUUCCUACGAUUCGAAUGAAAAGUAGCUGUUUUUGUGUACGAACGAAUUUCCCACAAAUGACCUACUUGUGAAGCAGUCAUUUACGAUUGAAAUUGGCUAUUGUUUGUCAGAAUAGAGAAACGAACUGUACGAAUGUUUCGGUGAAAUUGUAGUAUAGUAAUUAGGUUUCUCUAUCUCUGUUGAAAAAAAAGGUGUUUAUAAUUGAAAUCCAGCGUUUUAAACUUCUUCACUGGAACAGAUUCGUUGACACAUUUUAUACCCUUAUUUUGUCACGUUUUUGUUUGAAUAUCUUUCUUUGAUCUCACUGUACGCCCGAACGUAAUUAAUGACAACGCGUUGCGAGGCCUCAAAUUAUUGGAGUUUAAACGGCAGAAGGGACGUACGAUUACAGACAAUUGGGCACAUCACCUGAUCAUGACAGGAAUUGAAACCUCGGAAAAAAUGUCCCGAUUGGUAUUUUCCAAACAACAUUCACCGCACAGGCAGUUCUCUCGGCUGUUUGGACGAGGUUCAGCGAAAUCGCGAGCUUCGCGCAGUUGGCAUCGAUAUUCGAAAAGUCAUAGAAUUUGCAUUCUUCUAAAAGGACUAACUUGCAAACCACGUGACAUUACCAUCGGUCGUUAAAAGCGUCGUGAAUACAAUACACUUGCUAUGGUUCAGUAAUUACUCGAGCUCUUUAACGGGCCAAAAAUCCCUAGACGAUGACAAUCAAAUUGGAUCGUUCUAACCUUGCCCAAUUUAUGGUGAAACGAUUUAUGGUUAAUGGGUUGGAUCGUUGAGACGAUGGUUCGACUGUAUAACCAACUGGCAAGGCAAUGCGCGUGUAUGCUUCUUUUGUCGACAAUUUCGAGGGGGCGAGAGAAGGGGGAUGAACGGAGGGACGGGCCUCUGACUGUGCGGUGUAUCUAGCGCUUUGUAUAUGAACACCCAUUCGGUCCUCCGCGUCCGCCAUAAAAUACUUAAAUUAAAUUAUAUCAGCGGAUCAACGUGCUUCUGUGUAGGUUGCACGCAUAUUGUCAAUUGAGCGUAGACGCACCCAGGUAUCAAGGUUAAUUUUUCUUUCUUUCGAAGCAUGCGGGGGAGAAAUCGGAAUCAACCAUAACGUGGGUUACACGGUUGUUUGACCUCUGAUAAUUUCAAUAUCCAAUUAUUCGGUAAUCCUUUUUCAUAUGUAACACCUUACACACGGUGUACAGUGUUCUUGAAAACUAUCCUUGAAUUUUUCUUGUGUCCUGGAAAUAUUCUAUUUUCAAUGUCCCUGAAUAACCUGAAGAUGUUCUUUAAUUUGAAACAGAUUUUUUACUGAACACCAUGUUAUAAUGUCAUGCUG